GAUGAACGCUAGCGGCAGGCUUAACACAUGCAAGUCGAGGGGUAUAGUUCUUCGGAACUAGGGACCGGCGCACGGGUGCGUAACGCGUAUGCAAUCUACCUUUUACAGAGGAAUAGCCCAGAGAAAUUUGGAUUAAUACCUCAUAGUAUGUGAGAAUCGCAUGGUUUUCACAUUAAAGUUCCAACGGUAAAAGAUGAGCAUGCGUCCCAUUAGCUAGAUGGUAAGGUAACGGCUUACCAUGGCGACGAUGGGUAGGGUCCUGAGAGGGAGAUCCCCCACACUGGUACUGAGACACGGACCAGACUCCUACGGGAGGCAGCAGUGAGGAAUAUUGGUCAAUGGGCGCAAGCCUGAACCAGCCAUGCCGCGUGCAGGAAGACGGUCCUAUGGAUUGUAAACUGCUUUUAUACAGGAAGAAACAACGCUACGUGUAGCGUCUUGACGGUACUGUAGGAAUAAGGAUCGGCUAACUCCGUGCCAGCAGCCG
rnacentral:rRNA from 1 species